GAUGAACGCUGACAGAAUGCUUAACACAUGCAAGUCAACUUGAAUUUGGGUUUUUAACUUAGGUUUGGGUGGCGGACGGGUGAGUAACGCGUAAAGAACUUGCCUCACAGCUAGGGACAACAUUUGUAAACGAAUGCUAAUACCUAAUAUUAUGAUAAUAGGGCAUCCUAUAAUUAUGAAAGCUAUAAGCGCUGUGAGAGAGCUUUGCGUCCCAUUAGCUAGUUGGAGAGGUAACGGCUCACCAAGGCGAUGAUGGGUAGCCGGCCUGAGAGGGUGAUCGGCCACAAGGGGACUGAGACACGGCCCUUACUCCUACGGGAGGCAGCAGUGGGGAAUAUUGGACAAUGGACCAAGAGUCUGAUCCAGCAAUUCUGUGUGCACGAUGAAGUUUUUCGGAAUGUAAAGUGCUUUCAGUUGGGAAGAAAGAAAUGACGGUACCAACAGAAGAAGUGACGGCUAAAUACGUG
rnacentral:rRNA from 1 species